rnacentral:rRNA from 1 species
GACGUAGGGGGCUAGCGUUGUCCGGAAUUAUUGGGCGUAAAGAGCUCGUAGGUGGCGUGUCGCGUCUGCCGUGAAAGCCCAUGGCUUAACUGUGGGUCUGCGGUGGAUGCGGGCAGGCUAGAGGCUGGUAGGGGCAAGCGGAAUUCCUGGUGUAGCGGUGAAAUGCGCAGAUAUCAGGAGGAACACCGGUGGCGAAGGCGGCUUGCUGGGCCAGUUCUGACGCUGAGGAGCGAAAGCGUGGGGAGCGAACAGG